GUUAACCUAAAUACGUUAAUAAAAGAAAUAAUUGAAAUUUUCCAUUUAAAGAUUUUGGUAGAGAUCGGAGCUCUGCCCCGAAUGAUCAUCGGAAUCUUGCUUUCGGAGUCUCAAUUGUAUUUUAUAAUGACCAAACUCACUCUUCAAACAUUUACUGCUUUACGGCAGCAGUGGGCAGGAUAACGGUGCUCACACGUGCAGACCUACAAUACGCCCUAGCGCCAUUAAGAUUAAAGAAAAAUUAGAUGAUAAUUGAGGAAUACUCGAGGAAAGAAAAAAUACCUAGAUACCGACGGCAGCGCCAUCUGCCGGGCUGAUUUGUAAAUGUAAACCAUUCUCGAAUCCACCUGAAGAUACACAGAAAAUUUCAUUAAAAUCGGUCCAGCCGCUUAGGAGGAGUUCAGUGACAAACACACGCACAGAAAAAAUAUAUAAAAGAUUUCACCAACAUUAAAUAUUCAUAUCAGCGUCAAGUGACACAGACAGACAUUUGUGAAGAUCACUAGCCCAGAAAAAUAGCCCAGCAAAAGGAGCUAAGCAAGAUUCAUAAAAAAAAGUUAAAAGACCACACACGAAUGAAGGACUGAUAGCAGAGUGAAUGACCAGUCGUCCACGAAAACUUAAGUAUUCAAUCGUUGGAAAUUCUCGUAAUGGCAAGGUUCAAAUCAUAAGUUUAGUUUCAAUUAUAUCUGGGACACGCAAAAAACGAAGAAAAUUGACGAAAACAACUCAUGCGAAAGCCCCUUCAGGCACCGCUUUCACAAGUACCCAAUAGAAAUAAUACUAAAUAUAUGAAAAUAUACAGACAAUGUUUAGGAUUUUUUUCACUUUCCUAAAAUAUUUUACGAGUAGAAAACAGAUAUCGGAAUAGUGGCUGCCGAGAAAUCAGUAGAAUAAAAACGUCUUUUUAUUAUUGACUUGGCUAGUCCUAACUGCUAUUUCUAGUCUUGUUGAAGGAGUACAUAGACCACAGUUAUAACCUAUAAAAUCCUUCGCUUCACAGUUCUUGUACCUUAGAAAGAAUUUCAUUAUAAGCUAGCUGACCCGGCGGAUUUCAUAGUGCCUCAAUCGAUAAAUAAAAGGCUUAAAAUUUUGUAUAAAAUAAACUUAAAACAAACAACAUCAAAGGAAAAACAAAAUUGUUUGUUUUUAUUUUUAA